rnacentral:rRNA from 1 species
AGGACGAACGCUGGCGGCGUGCUUAACACAUGCAAGUCGAGCGGUAAGGCCCUUUCGGGGGUACACGAGCGGCGAACGGGUGAGUAACACGUGGGUUACCUGCCUCGAUGACCGGGACAACCCGAGGAAACUCGGGCUAAUACCGGAUGUGCCCGCAAGGGGAAAGGAAGCUUCGGCCUCCGCAUUGAGAUGGGCCCGCGGCCCAUUAGCUUGUUGGUGAGGUAACGGCUCACCAAGGCUUCGAUGGGUAGCUGGUCUGAGAGGACGAUCAGCCACACUGGGACUGAGACACGGCCCAGACUCCUACGGGAGGCAGCAGUGGGGAAUCUUGCGCAAUGCGCGAAAGCGUGACGCAGCAACGCCGCGUGGGGAAGAAGGCUUUCGGGUUGUAAACCCCUUUCAGUUGGGACGAAGCUUCUCCGGUGAAUAGCCGGAUGGAGUGACGGUACCUUCACAAGAAGCACCGGCUAACUACGUGCCAGCAGCCGCGGUAA